AUUGAACGCUGGCGGCAGGCCUUACACAUGCAAGUCGAACGAGUGGCGGACGGGUGAGUAAUGUCUGGGAAAGUGCCUGAUGGAGGGGGAUAACUACUGGAAACGGUAGCUAAUACCGCAUACCAUCGGAUGUGCCCAGAUGGGAUUAGCUAGUAGGUGGGGUAAAGGCUCACCUAGGCGAAGAUCCGUAGCUGGUCUGAGAGGAUGACCAGCCACACUGGGACUGAGACACGGUCCAGACUCCUACGGGAGGCAGCAGUGGGGAAUAUUGCACAAUGGGCGCAAGCCUGAUCCAGCCAUGCCGCGUGUAUGAUGAAGGCCUUCGGGUUGUAAAGUACUUUCGGCGGGGAGGCGUUACCCGCAGAAGAAGCACCGGCUAACUCCGUGCCAGCCGCCGCGGUAAUAC
rnacentral:rRNA from 1 species